UACGUAGGACCCAAGCGUUAUCCGGAGUGACUGGGCGUAAAGAGUUGCGUAGGCGGUCUAAUAAGCGAAUAGUGAAACCUGGUGGCUCAACCAUUCAGACUAUUAUUCGAACUGUUAGACUCGAGAGUAGCAGAGGUAACUGGAAUUUCUGAAGUAGGGGUAAUAUCCGUAGAUAUCAGAAGGAACACCAAUGGCGUAGGCAGGUUACUAGGCUAUUUCUGACGCUAAGGCACGAAAGCGUGGGGAGCGAACCGG
rnacentral:rRNA from 1 species